rnacentral:rRNA from 2 species
GCAGUCGAACGAACUCUGGUAUUGAUUGGUGCUUGCAUCAUGAUUUACAUUUGAGUGAGUGGCGAACUGGUGAGUAACACGUGGGAAACCUGCCCAGAAGCGGGGGAUAACACCUGGAAACAGAUGCUAAUACCGCAUAACAACUUGGACCGCAUGGUCCGAGCUUGAAAGAUGGCUUCGGCUAUCACUUUUGGAUGGUCCCGCGGCGUAUUAGCUAGAUGGUGGGGUAACGGCUCACCAUGGCAAUGAUACGUAGCCGACCUGAGAGGGUAAUCGGCCACAUUGGGACUGAGACACGGCCCAAACUCCUACGGGAGGCAGCAGUAGGGAAUCUUCCACAAUGGACGAAAGUCUGAUGGAGCAACGCCGCGUGAGUGAAGAAGGGUUUCGGCUCGUAAAACUCUGUUGUUAAAGAAGAACAUAUCUGAGAGUAACUGUUCAGGUAUUGACGGUAUUUAACCAGAAAGCCACGGCUAACUACGUGCCAGCAGCCGCGGUAAUACGUAGGUGGCAAGCGUUGUCCGGAUUUAUUGGGCGUAAAGCGAGCGCAGGCGGUUUUUUAAGUCUGAUGUGAAAGCCUUCGGCUCAACCGAAGAAGUGCAUCGGAAACUGGGAAACUUGAGUGCAGAAGAGGACAGUGGAACUCCAUGUGUAGCGGUGAAAUGCGUAGAUAUAUGGAAGAACACCAGUGGCGAAGGCGGCUGUCUGGUCUGUAACUGACGCUGAGGCUCGAAAGUAUGGGUAGCAAACAGGAUUAGAUACCCUGGUAGUCCAUACCGUAAACGAUGAAUGCUAAGUGUUGGAGGGUUUCCGCCCUUCAGUGCUGCAGCUAACGCAUUAAGCAUUCCGCCUGGGGAGUACGGCCGCAAGGCUGAAACUCAAAGGAAUUGACGGGGGCCCGCACAAGCGGUGGAGCAUGUGGUUUAAUUCGAAGCUACGCGAAGAACCUUACCAGGUCUUGACAUACUAUGCAAAUCUAAGAGAUUAGACGUUCCCUUCGGGGACAUGGAUACAGGUGGUGCAUGGUUGUCGUCAGCUCGUGUCGUGAGAUGUUGGGUUAAGUCCCGCAACGAGCGCAACCCUUAUUAUCAGUUGCCAGCAUUAAGUUGGGCACUCUGGUGAGACUGCCGGUGACAAACCGGAGGAAGGUGGGGAUGACGUCAAAUCAUCAUGCCCCUUAUGACCUGGGCUACACACGUGCUACAAUGGAUGGUACAACGAGUUGCGAACUCGCGAGAGUAAGCUAAUCUCUUAAAGCCAUUCUCAGUUCGGAUUGUAGGCUGCAACUCGCCUACAUGAAGUCGGAAUCGCUAGUAAUCGCGGAUCAGCAUGCCGCGGUGAAUACGUUCCCGGGCCUUGUACACACCGCCCGUCACACCAUGAGAGUUUGUAACACCCAAAGUCG